UCAAGGGUAGUCUACACCAGACAUCUGAUUUCGACCCAGAAAACCUUACACUAUAAGCCCUUGUA
rnacentral:tRNA from 1 species